rnacentral:rRNA from 1 species
CGGACGGGUGAGUAAUGUCUGGGAAACUGCCCGAUGGAGGGGGAUAACUACUGGAAACGGUAGCUAAUACCGCAUAACGUCGCGAGACCAAAGAGGGGGACCUUAGGGCCUCUUGCCAUCGGAUGUGCCCAGAUGGGAUUAGCUAGUAGGUGGGGUAAUGGCUCACCUAGGCGACGAUCCCUAGCUGGUCUGAGAGGAUGACCAGCCACACUGGAACUGAGACACGGUCCAG